AAUAUUACACAAUGGGGGAAAGCGGAUGCAGCAAUGCCGUCUGUGUGAGGAAGGCCUGCGGAUUGUAAAGCACUUUCAAUAGGGAAGAAAAGCUUAGGGUUAAUAACCUUAAGUCUUGACAUUAUCUAUACAAGAAGCACCGGCUAACUCCGUGCCAGCAGCCGCGGUAAUACGGAAGGUGCGAGCGUUAAUCGGAAUUAUUGGGCGUAAAGCGCGGGUAGGUGGUAAGGUCAGUUGGAUGUGAAAGCCCCGGGCUUAACCUGGGAACUGCAUUCGAUACUGCCGUGCUAGGGUAUGGUAGAGGGAAGUGGAAUUCCGGGUGUAGGAGGAAAUUGUAGAAAUCCGGGGGGAAACCAUUGGGGAAGGCACUUAUCGGGCCGAUUAUGACGCUGAGGUGCGAAAGCGUGGCAGCAAACAGAAUUAGAUAUCCUCUUGGAGUCCACCCUA
rnacentral:rRNA from 1 species